rnacentral:pre_miRNA from 1 species
UAUGGAAUUACUGGAUCAUAUGGUAAUUCUAAUUUUAAUUAUUUGAGGAACUGCCAAUUGUUUUCUAUAGCUGCUGCACCAUUUAACAUUCCAGUCAGCAAU